UUUGUUUAUAUAACUGUUAUAACUAUUAUAAUUGUAGGCGUAUUACGAACGAGAUUGUAAGAACACGGAAAUAGUUACCAUGGUAUAUAUAUGUUGAACAAUUUGGGAACACACUACUAUUGCUCUACUUUGCUUUAAACACUUAAGAUAUUUGGAGAACUCCAAAAAGCACACCAUCAACAAACAUGAAAUCUGUAUGCUUUGCUUUCUUAAUGGCCUGUGUCAUGGUUGCUGUUGUCCAAGGCCAGUGGGGUGGCUACUACGGGGGUGGUGGAAACUACUACGGUGGACACGGACUGGGAGGUGGAUAUUACGGGGGUGGAUUGAUCGGUGGCGGACUCGGAGGAUGGAAUUCCGGAUUUGGACGAUUCGGUGACGGCGGACUUUUGGGCCUUGGCCGUAGAAGUCUUGGUAGAAGAGGAUAUUAUUAGUGUCAUGUUUACUUUCACAUAGGGAACUAUACUCAAACCAAUGUGCAGACAUAAAUCCAAAGCAUGAGUGAUAACCAUUAUAAACUUUGAUCAUUAGUCAUAAAUAUGACAUUAUGAAUACAUCAUUUUUUGAUAGCUAUGAACACUUUUCAUUUAUAUUUUUUAUUAUAUAAAACAAUAUAUUUUAUUGCAUGUUUUAAAUGCAAUACUGUGCUUUUAAUAUGUAUAUUGAGUUGAUGAAAUAAAUACUAAAACAUAAAA